AAUAAGUGCAGCAGUGGAUAUUUGUGCCCAACAUUUGACUGUCCGUGUUAUUUGAAAAAUUUGUGAAAAAUUUGAAAAUAUUUAGUCACACAUAAAGUACUAUUCAUGUUUUAUCUUCUAAUAGCAAUAGAAAUACUAAUCAAAUAAGAUAAACGGUCAAACGUUGAACGUGAAUAGUGCAAAAAUGCACUUAUU
rnacentral:pre_miRNA from 1 species